GACGAACGCUGGCGGCGUGCUUAACACAUGCAAGUCGAACGGAAAGGCCCUGCUUUUGUGGGGUGCUCGAGUGGCGAACGGGUGAGUAACACGUGAGUAACCUGCCCUUGACUUUGGGAUAACUUCAGGAAACUGGGGCUAAUACCGGAUAGGAGCUCCUGCUGCAUGGUGGGGGUUGGAAAGUUUCGGCGGUUGGGGAUGGACUCGCGGCUUAUCAGCUUGUCGGUGGGGUAGUGGCUUACCAAGGCUUUGACGGGUAGCCGGCCUGAGAGGGUGACCGGCCACAUCGGGACUGAGAUACGGCCCAGACUCCUACGGGAGGCAGCAGUGGGGAAUAUUGCACAAUGGGCGGAAGCCUGAUGCAGCAACGCCGCGUGCGGGAUGACGGCCUUCGGGUUGUAAACCGCUUUCGCCUGUGACGAAGCGUGAGUGACGGUAAUGGGUAAAGAAGCACCGGCUAACUACGUG
rnacentral:rRNA from 1 species